AAUAUGACUCUCGGCAACGGAUAUCUCGGCUCUCGCAUCGAUGAAGAACGUAGCGAAAUGCGAUACUUGGUGUGAAUUGCAGAAUCCCGUGAACCAUCGAGUCUUUGAACGCAAGUUGCGCCCCAAGCCGUUAGGCUGAGGGCACGUCUGCCUGGGUGUCACGC
rnacentral:rRNA from 1 species